rnacentral:pre_miRNA from 1 species
AGUGCAAUAGUUGGGUCAUAUGGUGGGUCCACUCAUAGUCUUAUAAGGAAUCUCCAUAUUGCUUUCCAAAGCAGCUGUACUAAUUUGCAGUCCCAACAACAU